CCUACGGGUGGCAGCAGUGAGGAAUAUUGGUCAAUGGACGAGAGUCUGAACCAGCCAAGUAGCGUGAAGGAUGACUGCCCUAUGGGUUGUAAACUUCUUUUAUAAAGGAAUAAAACGAGGCACGUGUGCCUUUUUGCAUGUACUUUAUGAAUAAGGAUCGGCUAACUCCGUGCCAGCAGCCGAGUUAAUACGGAGGAUCCGGGCGUUAUCCGGCUUUAUUGGGUUUAAAGGGAGCGUAGAUGGGUUGUUAAGUCCGUUGUGAAAGUUUGGGGCUCAACCGUAAAAUUGCAAUUGAUACUGGCAGUCGUGAGUACAGUUGAGGUACGCGGAAUUCGUGGUGUAGCGGUGAAAUGCUUAGAUAUCACGAAGAACCCCGAUUGCGAAGGCAGCUUACUAAACUGUGACUGACAUUGAGGCUCGAAAGUGUGGGUAUCAAACAGGAUUAGAUACCCGAGUAGUC
rnacentral:rRNA from 1 species